rnacentral:rRNA from 1 species
GACGAACGCUGGCGGCGUGCUUUACACAUGCAAGUCGAGCGAUGAGAUCCCUUCGGGGAAGGAUUAGCGGCGAACGGGUGAGGAACACGUGAGGAAUCUGCCUUCAACACUGGGAUAACUCCGGGAAACCGGGGCUAAUACCGGAUACGAGACCUGCAGGCAUCUGCGGGUCUGGAAAGUUUUUCGGUUGAAGAUGACCUCGCGGCCUAUCAGCUUGUUGGUGAGGUAAUGGCUCACCAAGGCGACGACGGGUAGCCGGCCUGAGAGGGCGACCGGCCACACUGGGACUGAGACACGGCCCAGACUCCUACGGGAGGCAGCAGUGGGGAAUAUUGGGCAAUGGAGGGAACUCUGACCCAGCGACGCCGCGUGCGGGAUGAAGGCCUUCGGGUUGUAAACCGCUUUCAGCAAGGAAGAAGCGAAAGUGACGGUACUUGCAGGAGAAGCACCGGCUAACUAUGUGCCAGCAGCCGCGGUAAUACAUAGGGUGCAAGCGUUGUCCGGAAUUAUUGGGCGUAAAGAGCUCGUAGGUGGUUCGUCACGUCGGAUGUGAAAAUCUGGGGCUUAACCCCAGACCUGCAUUCGAUACGGGCGAGCUAGAGUGUGGUAGGGGAGACUGGAAUUCCUGGUGUAGCGGUGGAAUGCGCAGAUAUCAGGAGGAACACCAAUGGCGAAGGCAGGUCUCUGGGCCAUUACUGACACUGAGGAGCGAAAGCGUGGGGAGCGAACAGGAUUAGAUACCCUGGUAGUCCACGCCGUAAACGGUGGGCACUAGUUGUGGGAACCUUCCACGGUUUCUGCGACGCAGCUAACGCAUUAAGUGCCCCGCCUGGGGAGUACGAUCGCAAGAUUA